GGCUCAGAUUGAACGCUGGCGGCAUGCCUUACACAUGCAAGUCGAACGGCAGCACGGGGGCAACCCUGGUGGCGAGUGGCGAACGGGUGAGUAAUGCAUCGGAACGUGCCCAGUAGUGGGGGAUAACCAGUCGAAAGACUGGCUAAUACCGCAUACGACCUAAGGGUGAAAGCGGGGGACCGUAAGGCCUCGCGCUAUUGGAGCGGCCGAUGUCUGAUUAGCUAGUUGGCGGGGUAAGAGCCCACCAAGGCGACGAUCAGUAGCUGGUCUGAGAGGACGACCAGCCACACUGGGACUGAGACACGGCCCAGACUCCUACGGGAGGCAGCAGUGGGGAAUUUUGGACAAUGGGCGCAAGCCUGAUCCAGCCAUGCCGCGUGCGGGAAGAAGGCCUUCGGGUUGUAAACCGCUUUUGGCAGGAACGAAACGGCGCAAGCCAAUACCUUGCGCUAAUGACGGUACCUGCAGAAUAAGCACCGGCUAACUACGUG
rnacentral:rRNA from 1 species